UAAGGGCGCACGGUGGAUGCCUUGGCACUAGAAGCCGAUGAAGGACGUUACUAACGACGAUAUGCUUUGGGGAGCUGUAAGUAAGCUUUGAUCCAGAGAUUUCCGAAUGGGGAAACCCAGCAUGAGUUAUGUCAUGUUAUCGAUAUGUGAAUACAUAGCAUAUCAGAAGGCACACCCGGAGAACUGAAACAUCUUAGUACCCGGAGGAAGAGAAAGAAAAUUCGAUUCCCUUAGUAGCGGCGAGCGAAACGGGAAGAGCCCAAACCAACAAGCUUGCUUGUUGGGGUUGUAGGACACUCUAUACGGAGUUACAAAGGACGACAUUAGACGAAUCAUCUGGAAAGAUGAAUCAAAGAAGGUAAUAAUCCUGUAGUCGAAAAUGUUGUCUCUCUUGAGUGGAUCCUGAGUACGACGGAGCACGUGAAAUUCCGUCGGAAUCUGGGAGGACCAUCUCCUAAGGCUAAAUACU
rnacentral:rRNA from 1 species